GUUAAACAAGGUGCUCAAAGUCACCCAGCUGAGGAGGACUUAGCCCUAGUCUGUCUGGUCCAAAGUCCCUGCGUUUCCUGUGACAGCCUCCCCUCACGGUGCCGGUGACGCUGCUGGUAUAACAGGGCUGCUCUCAGGCACGAAAUCACAGCUCCAACCGUAUCAGAAGGAACACAAAGUCCGGCCUUUCAGAUGGGGCAUUCCCAGGAGGCAAGGUGCCAACAACCCUGCUUCACGGAGCUCUGGCACUCUCCACACGCCGUAUUCAGUCUCCACACACUGGCAGCUGUCUGGGGGCCACUGUCAUGGUCUGCCUUCAGCACCCUGAGAACAUGGUGCUCUCCACGCCUGCCUCCCUCCCAGGGCAUGGGAAACUUACCCCCUGAGUGGAAAUCACUGAUCCAGUCACUCGUACCUGACUUUAGCAGGAGUCACAAGGGCUCCAGGUGUGUUACACACAUGCGCACUCACAAACACACACUCCCCCCCCCCCCCCCCCCCCCCCGCCCCCGGCCGAGAGGCAGAGGAGCCAGGGUGGCCCUGGAGGGCAGGAGCCUGAAGCAUCUCAGGGCGGGGCUGCUCGAA
rnacentral:lncRNA from 1 species